rnacentral:rRNA from 1 species
CCUACGGGUGGCUGCAGUGGGGAAUAUUGGACAAUGGGCGAAAGCCUGAUCCAGCCAUGCCGCGUGUGUGAAGAAGGCCUUCGGGUUGUAAAGCACUUUCAGUGGGGAAGAAAGCCUUGGGGCUAAUACCCUCGAGGAAGGACAUCACCCACAGAAGAAGCACCGGCUAACUCCGUGCCAGCAGCCGCGGUAAUACGGAGGGUGCGAGCGUUAAUCGGAAUUACUGGGCGUAAAGCGCGCGUAGGCGGUCUGAUAAGCCGGUUGUGAAAGCCCCGGGCUCAACCUGGGAACGGCAUCCGGAACUGUCAGGCUAGAGUGCAGGAGAGGAAGGUAGAAUUCCCGGUGUAGCGGUGAAAUGCGUAGAGAUCGGGAGGAAUACCAGUGGCGAAGGCGGCCUUCUGGACUGACACUGACGCUGAGGUGCGAAAGCGUGGGUAGCAAACAGGAUUAGAUACCCGAUAGU